rnacentral:misc_RNA from 1 species
AAAGGCUUAGUUGAGUUGAGUAGAUUACUUCGGUGCAUCUUUGUCCGUUCAAUUAAAGGACAUAACAUGCUGCAGAUUUUACUUUAAGUGCUUCAUACGAUGGAAAAGCAAAAGCCUUAUGCUACAAUCUUCUAAGUCAAACAUUUAGGUUUUUUUUUUAACUUCAGUUCUUGUCUACAGUGUUUAGGCUGGAUAUGAAAAGUCCUUUUACACUUUCUGGUUGUAUGACAGUCCCCUUUCUUUACAUGAUUCAUAGUGCGCUGACAUUUCUAAGUUGAUAAAUAAAUCAUAAUUUUGUUCGGAAUGUACGCGACACUAUCAUGUUGCAUGUUCAUGGUAUAAUACAUGCAUUUUUCAAGUGGGUUUGGCUUGAAGGGUCCUUCAAAGUUCUACCCAAAAAUUUAAAAAGUAAAAAAGACCUUCAUUUCCAAAAUCGACCUCAUUUAUCAUGUGUCUGCAGUAUUGAUGUCAUCUCUUCAGCCUUUGAAGGACAAUCAAGCGUGAAUAGGCAGAGAAUGGUUUACAAAGCCAUAUGGGAGGAGCUUCAG